UACGUAGGGGGCAAGCGUUGUCCGGAAUUAUUGGGCGUAAAGAGCGUGUAGGCGGUCCGGUAAGUCGGCUGUGAAAGUCCAGGGCUCAACCCUGGGAUGCCGGUCGAUACUGCCGGACUAGAGUUCGGAAGAGGCGAGUGGAAUUCCCGGUGUAGCGGUGAAAUGCGCAGAUAUCGGGAGGAACACCUAUGGCGAAGGCAGCUCGCUGGGACGUUACUGACGCUGAGACGCGAAAGCAUGGGGAGCGAACAGG
rnacentral:rRNA from 1 species